UCAAACUUGGUCAUUUAGAGGAAGUAAAAGUCGUAACAAGGUCUCCGUUGGUGAACCAGCGGAGGGAUCAUUACCGAGUUGCAAAACUCACCAAAACCACCGCGAACAUACCUACGACAGUUGCCUCGGCAGGCGGCUCCAGGGCGGAGCCAUGGCCUGAAAUAUGGCGCCUGCCGGGGGUUUAAACCUCUGUAUUUUAUGUAUGGCCUUUCUGAGUUUCGAACCGAAACAAGUUAAAACUUUCAACAACGGAUCUCUUGGUUCUGGCAUCGAUGAAGAACGCAGC
rnacentral:misc_RNA from 1 species